GGCGAAAUUGUAGUGCAAGUGAAGAUGCUUGCUACCCGCGAUUGGACGGAAAGACCCCGUAGAGCUUUACUGUAGCUUAGCAUUGAAUCUCGGUAUUGUCUGUACAGGAUAGGUGGGAGACUUGGAAACUUGGGCGUCAGCCUGAGUGGAGUCAUCCUUGGGAUACCACCCUGACAGUACUGGGGUUCUAACCGGCGGCCAUGAAUCUGGUCACGGGACAUUGUUAGGUGGGCAGUUUGACUGGGGCGGUCGCCUCCUAAAAAGUAACGGAGGCGCCCAAAAGUUCCCUCAGCGCGGUCGGAAAUCGCGCGAAGAGUGCAAAGGCAGAAGGGAGCUUGACUGCGACACAUACAGGUGGAGCAGGGACGAAAGUCGGG
rnacentral:rRNA from 1 species